rnacentral:lncRNA from 1 species
GAGCGCCCAGCGUCAGUCCACCAGACACUUUCCUAGUGAGCAGGUCUUUUGUAGAUUUGUGCUAUUACCUUGUGAUAAUUAACACGCCGAAAAACUCGCAUCCAGCCACCGUGGGUACUCUCUCUCAGCCGCUCCCUCUCGCUCGUCCUAGCGCACCCGUGGGAAAAGAAAAGCAAGCAAGCAAGCAAGCAAGCAAGCAAGUGAUCAAUCCACCCCCGUCCGGCAAGACAGCUGCUGGGCGACCCUACGAGUGCUCAAACCCCGACGUAAACAAAGCUUCCAACCAUUAUGUCCCUCGUCACAGUCCUCGGGAGUAUGGGAACAGGAGGACGGAUCCCUGGCAGAGCUAACGUUUACGGAUUCGGAGGCAUUCCGCCUUCACUCAAAGAAAAGAAGCUCAAAGAAGCAAAGUUGCAGAACGCCCACGCCAAGGCAGCUGUCAUCGCCGCUGAACACGCUGCGGAGACGAAAAAGAAAGAUGACAGCAAAUGAGACACUGCCGAGGUGAAGAAGUGCUGUUGGUGAGGUUCUUCGUGCCUAGAGCUGCCACCAUGGGUAGAAGAAGAGGAAGGUGUUAGGCUUUACUCGCUCUAUGCUACCUGAAGAAGCGGCCGCCUAAACUGGGGUCCCACACGCACAAAAGGCCAUCAGGGACUCGGUCGAAGGCGGCCUGUUCUCCUAUCUUCCCCACCUCCCCCUCCCCCUUCCCCCUUCCCCCUUCCCCGUAGAUCGGUAGUGGUUUUUUUUCGUUUGUGGUUGAUUUAGUUUUGUGAUAUAAGCUGAUUUGGCUUAUGUUUCUCGGGCGUCUUCGACUGUACCUGUGUCGACUCCGCCCUCGCGCCCCUGACGUUGACGGGGCGCGCUGGCUUCUUAUGACACUGUUGGCCGUGACAGGUGCUCGCUCGAAUAUCCCAUAUUCUGAACAGGACUUGGAUUUGGCUCGUGAGAUUUCUCUGUUUUUUUUUUUUUUUUCAUUUUGAGACAGAGAACAUUUUAUAAUCAUUAUAGCUUAAUUAAUGAUAUGAUCAUCAGCCUGUGAAAAGAUUUUUUUUUUUUAUGAAAACACAACGCAUAUGAAUCGUAGUGACAUUUGCAUACCUCUAUGAGAUGAAAGCUUAACGAGAUGCUCCCACGUCCAUUCAGAAUGCGGGAUCUCAUUUCAUGAUUUGUUUUUGGAUGAUUCUCUCUUACUUUAGACUAUUUAUAUAUCUUCUUCACUCUUUAAUCAAAACAUGCGCGCAAGCAUUACCACCUCUGCUUUGUACAUACGCAGCAUUAAGCAUUUCAAGCGAAUCAAUGCUGUAGUAUCGUGUGUCUCCGGUUCGGGAAGGCGGGCAUUUUCUCGCCAGCACAAACUCUUCUAAAUUUCAUAUUUUUUAUUGCUCAAGAAAGUCAACGACGCCGUUGCUCUCGUACCUAAAUUCCUGAUAGACAUUUGCGGAUUUUUUAUGUUUGAUCUCUUUAUACUUCUGAGUAAAAAAAGAAAAAAAAGAGAAAUAAAAGGUGCCUCACUAUUAAGCCUCCUAGAGUAAGUUAUUUUGGAUUUGAAAGUUUUUGGAAAAAAAAUAAAAAAAAUAGGGUUGUCUACAACCAGUUUUCUCAUGGGACCAGUUAGAUUGACCAUGCAGAAGCUAUCGACAUAUUUUUUCUAACAUUAAGAGGAAACGCUUAUCUGUCUUGGUUCCAACGAUAAAUUAUACCAUUAUAUUGGGUCUUCAGGUGACAUGUUUUCCGAUGAAAAAAAUAGAAUCGAGAAUGACAUUGUUCUUUUUUUUUCACGAAUGAAUGAUUGUGAAUAAUGCAAAUGAAAUGAAUGAUGGAGCAAAAAAAUAUUCACUAUUUUACAUAGCCACAUGUCCAUGUAUAUCUCUUCUUAGCAUAUCAUUUGAUAACGAUAGAAAUGCGAUAUCAACUGCUUUUUUAUAUGUUAUAAGGGAUAAGCGUGUAAAUUAUGCGAGUGAAUGGAAAAAACAAAUCGACAAAAAAAUCUUUGUAAAUAUAUCCAAACUAACAUUGUACUUCUGUAUCUUCACCAACUUCUGGUAUUUUCUGCGCAUUUGGGAAACAUAGCUGGCACGGAACUCUCUCUGUGAUACUGUUGCCUCGUUAUCCCAAUGUUGUGAGAAGUUAUCAGCUUUCUACGAGGGGGGGGGGGAGCAGUGCAAGAGGAGGCUACGGGGGGGGUGGUGUCACUUUUCCUUCCUGACACACAGGAAAAUGGAAAAAAUGGCAUUGCCCAUAUGUGGUUUUCCCUUGUCCUGGUCUUUUCCCUAAGCCACUGUUGUUAUUCAGAACAAAAGAUGAAGGUUGGCAUUACAACUCUCCAUACUCUCACUUGGGUGUAGACAAUGCUAUGUACUAUUCAUGAAUUUGGUUAUAGAUAACACAGUAGUAGAAGAGUUUGUGAAAACAGAGUGCCAUUUUGCGCCAAUUAUGAGUGAAGAAAAACAUUUCUGUUAUCGAUCUACGAGGCUACAGUUAGACAGCUGUUUGUUAUCUGUAUCUUAUAGAUGGAUAGGGGUAGAUGUCAUCUUCAUAUCCUAUCAACUUCACGAAGUUUGAAGCUGAUAGGAGCCAUAAAACCAAUAAGUAAGGUUCUGUGAAUCCAUUAUUAUUCUAAUCUACAAUGUUGUCUGUGUUGAAUUUUUUCUACCAUAAUGUAAUGCUGUUUUAUGUUAAGUAUCUUUGUAGUGAUAUAAUUUCCCCUGCAUUUCCGCUUUGUGAGUCUAAAGAUUCUAUUUGGAAGAAAUGCCAUUUGUACUGUCAAUUUUGAGUCGUAUGAGUCUCCCAUUUUUUUCUUUAAGGAUACUGAACGGUUCCAUCUUGCGAAUGCAUAUACCAGUUUUGAUAGAUAUUUGAACCUUUUCGUACAUAUCCGAUGAAUUCCCUUGAAAUCUCCCAAUUGACUGAAUGAUUCUGUAUUACGUCUAUGCUUUCGACCAAAGAUUUGAUUAAGUAAGAACACGAUUAUAGAUGUCUGUACAUAACAUAUUAGUUCCAUUGAGGUAUACAUGUCGUGUAUGAGCAUAAACGUUUACCACAUUACGUGUAAAAAUGGGAAAAAAAAAAAUUGUGAAUAGUAAAUUGUGCCUUGAAAUGUUUACGCCACUCUCUUCUCUCUAAUGACUACUCUAUCUAGAAACACAUGCUGUGACACUUGUAUUAGCAUGUAGAUACGAACGAAAACAACAACAAUGUAACUCAGCUUUCUCUCUCAUCUGUACGUUUGUUUCUGUUGAGGGGAAUACUUGCCCGUCUGUUGUCACAUACGUGGUUCAUGAUAAGAAAAUGAAAAUGUUUAUAUACAAAGACAUAUUUCUCAAUAAAUGUCUUCCUAUUUA